rnacentral:rRNA from 1 species
UACGUAGGGGGCAAGCGUUGUCCGGAUUUAUUGGGCGUAAAGAGCGUGUAGGCGGCCAGGUAGGUCAGCUGUGAAAACUCGAGGCUUAACCUCGAGACGCCGGCUGAAACCCUCUGGCUAGAGUCCGGAAGAGGAGAGCGGAAUUCCUGGUGUAGCGGUGAAAUGCGCAGAUAUCAGGAAGAACACCCGUGGCGAAGGCGGCUCUCUGGAACGGUACUGACGCUGAGACGCGAAAGCGUGGGGAGCGAACAGG